rnacentral:rRNA from 1 species
CCAGACUCCUACGGGAGGCAGCAGUGGGGGAUAUUGCACAAUGGGGGAAACCCUGAUGCAGCAACGCCGCGUGAGGGAAGACGGUUUUCGGAUUGUAAACCUCUGUCAUCGGUGACGAAAAGGACGGUAGCCGAUGAGGAAGCUCCGGCUAACUACGUGCCAGCAGCCGCGGUAAUACGGAGGAUGCGAGCGUUAUCCGGAUUUAUUGGGUUUAAAGGGUGCGCAGGCGGCACGGCAAGCCGGCGGUCAAAUCGCGGGGCUCAACCCCGCCCAGCCGUCGGAACUGCCGGGCUAGAGUGGGCGAGAAGUGCGCGGAAUGCGUGGUGUAGCGGUGAAAUGCAUAGAUAUCACGCAGAACUCCGAUUGCGAAGGCAGCGCACCGGCGCCCUACUGACGCUCAGGCACGAAAGCGUGGGUAUCGAACAGGAUUAGAUACCCGUGUACCU